rnacentral:rRNA from 1 species
CAAACUACGAAGAGCGCAAGGGGAAUGCCUUGGCACUAAGAGCCGAUGAAGGACGCAACUAACUGCGAUAAGCUAUGGGGAGCCGUAAGUAGGCCUUGAUCCAUAGAUUUCCGAAUGGAGUAAUCCAUCUAGAUUAAUACCUAGAUAUUGUAUACUGAAUAAAAUAGGUAUAUAAAGGGAACCGUCUGAACUGAAACAUCUAAGUAAGACGAGGAAAAUAAAUCAACUGAGAUUCUGUGAGUAGUGGUGAGCGAAAACGGAACAGGCCAAACCAAGGAUAGAAAUGUUUUUGGGGUUAGGACAGUUUUAAGAAAUUCUUGAAUUUAGCAGAAUAAUAUGGGAAGAUUAAUCAUAGAAUGUGAAAAUCAUGUAUGCAAAAAACAAGAGGAUUCGACUGUAUCCAGAGUACUGCCAGACACGAGGAAUUUGGUGGGAAUGCGGGGGGACCAUCCUCCAAGCCUAAAUACUACUUAGUGACCGAUAGCGUAUAGUACUGUGAAGGAAAGGUGAAAAGAACCCCGGGAGGGGAGUGAAAUAGAACCUGAAACCUUGUGCUUACAAGCACCGAAAGCUCAUUGAUGAGUGAUCGGGUACCUUUUGUAGAAUGGUCCGGCGAGUGAAUUUAAUUGGCAAGGUUAAGAAUUUAUGAUUCGAAGCCGCAGAGAAAUCAAGUCUGAAUAGGGCUAGUUUAGUCAGUUGGAUUCGACCCGAAACCGGGUGACUUACCCAUGUCCAGGCUGAAGUGGCGGUAAAACGCCAUGGAGGGCCGAACCGACUCCUGUUGAAAUAGUAGCGGAUGAGGUGUGGGUAGCGGAGAAAUUCCAAUCGAACCCGGAAAUAGCUGGUUCUCUCCGAAAUAGUUUUAGGACUAGCCUUGUGAUAAAUUACUGGAGGUAAAGCACUGAAUGAGCUAGGGGCCGAAAGGUUACUGAACUCUAUCAAACUAAGAAUGCCAGAUAAUUUUUUUACGGGAGUCAGACAGUGUGAGAUAAGUUUCAUUGUCAAAAGGGAAACAGCCCAGACCCACAGCUAAGGUCCCUAAGUAAAUUUAAGUGGAAAAGGAUGUAAUAUUACUCAGACAACCAGGAUGUUGGCUUAGAAGCAGCCAUUCAUUUAAAGAGUGCGUAAUAGCUCACUGGUCGAGUGAUUUUGCGCCGAAGAUUUAACGGGGCUAAAAUUUACACCGAAGCUUGGGGAGUUAAAUUUAUUUUAACUCGGUAGGAGAGCGUUGUAUACGGAGCGAAGCUAUAGCGUAAGCAGUAGUGGACUGUAUAAAAGUGAGAAUGCCGGAAUGAGUAGCGAGAAAUAUGUGAGAAUCAUAUUGGCCGAAAAUCUAAGGUUUUUGGAGGAAGGUUCGUCCACUUCAAGUGAGUCGGGAGCUAAGGCGAGGCUGAAAAGCGUAGUCGAUGCACAUACGGUUGAUAUUCCGUAACCAUCUGAAGAUUUAAGUAAAAUGACACCUUGGCAAGGAUGUGUCCCAGAGAUUGGUUGUUCUGGGCGUAAGGGACCGAAAUUUAGUAGGGAAGCACAUUUGGACAGGGGCAAGAAAAGUUUUAUGUAUAUCCCAGGUGCCCGUACCGCAAACCGACACAGGUAGAUAGGAUGAGGAUUCUAAGGCCAACGGGGAAAGGGUAGUUAAGGAACUCGGCAAAUUAACUCUGUAACUUCGGAAAAAAGAGUGCCAUGUACUUUAAAAUUAUGUGGUCGCAGUGAAUAGGUCCAGGCGACUGUUUAUCAAAAACACAGGUCUCUGCUAAAUCGUAAGAUGAUGUAUAGGGGCUGACACCUGCCCAGUGCUGGAAGGUUAAUAGGAAAAGUGCAAGCUUUGAAUUGAAGCCCCAGUGAACGGCGGCCGUAACUAUAACGGUCCUAAGGUAGCGAAAUUCCUUGUCGGGUAAAUUCCGACCUGCACGAAUGGUGUAACGAUCUGGGCACUGUCUCAAUUACCCGCCCGGCGAAAUUGUAGUACCGGUGAAGAUGCCGGUUACCUGCGGCAAGACGGAAAGACCCCAUGGAGCUUCACUGCAACUUGAUAUUGGGUUUCGGUGGUUUAUGUACAGGAUAGGUGGGAGACUAUGAAACUUGGGCGUCAGCUCAAGCGGAGUCGUCCUUGGGAUACCACUCUUAAAUCUUUGAAAUUCUAACUUUUGGCCAUGAAUCUGGUCAGAGGACACUGUCAGGUGGGCAGUUUGACUGGGGCGGUCACCUCCUAAAAUGUAACGGAGGUGCUCAAAGGUUAGCUCGGUACGGUCGGAAAUCGUGCUAUAGAGUGUAAACGCAAAAGCUAGCCUAACUGUGAGAAUGACAGUUCGAGCAGUAACGAAAGUUGGAGUUAGUGAUCCGGCGGUUGUGUAUGGAAAUGCCGUCGCUCAACGGAUAAAAGCUACCCUGGGGAUAACAGGCUUAUCUCCCCCAAGAGUUCACAUCGACGGGGAGGUUUGGCACCUCGAUGUCGGCUCAUCACAUCCUGGGGCUGUAUUCGGUCCCAAGGGUUCGGCUGUUCGCCGAUUAAAGUGGUACGCGAGCUGGGUUCAGAACGUCGCGAGACAGUUCGGUCCCUAUCUGCCGUGGGCGUUAGAUAUUUGCGGAGUUCUGUCCUUAGUACGAGAGGACCGGGAUGGACGUACCUCUGGCUCACCAGUUGUCAUACCUUUGGCAUAGCUGGGCAACUAUGUACGGUUUGGAUAAAUGCUGAAAGCAUCUAAGCGUGAAGCCACCUCCAAGAUUAGAUAUCUUUUCUUUUUAGAUGUAGACCACUUGUAGACUACAAGUUUGAUAGGCUGCGUGUGUAAGUACAGUAAUGUAUUUAGCUUGGCAGUACUAAUUGGUCGAUUGUUUUGAUCU